CCUACGGGAGGCAGCAGUGGGGAAUAUUGGGCAAUGGAGGAAACUCUGACCCAGCGACGCCGCGUGCGGGAUGAAGGCCUUCGGGUUGUAAACCGCUUUCAGUAGGGAAGAAGCGAAAGUGACGGUACCUACAGAAGAAGCACCGGCUAACUAUGUGCCAGCAGCCGCGGUAAUACAUAGGGUGCAAGCGUUGUCCGGAAUUAUUGGGCGUAAAGAGCUCGUAGGUGGUUCGUCACGUCGGAUGUGAAAAUCUGGGGCUCAACCCCAGACCUGCAUUCGAUACGGGCGAUCUAGAGUGUGGUAGGGGAGACUGGAAUUCCUGGUGUAGCGGUGGAAUGCGCAGAUAUCAGGAGGAACACCAAUGGCGAAGGCAGGUCUCUGGGCCAUUACUGACACUGAGGAGCGAAAGCGUGGGGAGCGAACAGGAUUAGAUACCCUGGUAGUCCACGCCGUAAACGGUGGGCACUAGUUGUGGGAACCUUCCACGGUUUCGUUGCGACGCNCGCACGACAUAGUAGCCGCCGUCGGNGGUAGAGCGCGAGAGUAAACGUAACGUAAGUAAGUAGUUAGACGUGAGAGAGCGACGACGACGACGAGGAGGAGGAG
rnacentral:rRNA from 1 species